AUUCCAUGUUGAUGGCAUUUUCUCAACAUCUCCUUAUAUCUCUCCCAAGUGUCAUACAAGGAUUUUGAUUCCAAUUGUAAAAAAGAGGAGAUAUCACUCCUCAACUU